AAAUUGAAGAGUUUUUUGAUCGAUCAUGGCUCAGAUUGAACGCUGGCGGCAGGCCUAACACAUGCAAGUCGAACGGUAAAACAGGGGAAGCAGCUUGCUGCUUUGCUGACGUGUGCGGCGCGGUAGUAAUGUCUGGGAACUGCCUGAUGGAGGGGGAACUACGGAAACGGUAGCUAAUACCGCAUAACGUCGCAAGACCAAAAAGAGGGACCUUCGGGCCUUUGCCAUCUGAUGUGCACCAGAUGGGGAUUAGCUAAUAGGUGGGGAAACGGCUUCACCCAGGCGACGAUCCCUAGCUGGUCUGAGAGGAUGACCAGCCACACUGGAACUGAGACACGGUCCAGACUCUACGGGGAGGCAGCAGUGGGGGAAUAUUGCACAAUGGAGAACGCAAGCCUGAUGCAGCCUGCCGCGUGUAUGAAGGCCUUCGGGUUGUAAAGUACUUUCAGCGGGGAGGAAGGGAGUAAAGUUAAUACCCUUUCUCAUUGACGUUACCGCAGAAGAAGCACCGGCUAACUCCGUGCCAGCAGCCGCGGUAAUAAGGAGGGUGCAAGCGUUAAUCGGAAUUACUGGGCGUAAGCGCACGCAGGCGGUUUGUUAAGUCAGAUGUGAAAAUCCCCGGCUCAGCCCUGGAACUGCAUCUGAUACUGGUAAGCGUUGAGUCUCGUAGAGGGGGUAGAAUUCGGUGUAGCGGUGAAAUGCGUAGGAGAUCUGGAGGAGGGGAAUACCGGUGGCGAAGACGCGCCCCCUGGACGAAGACGGACGCUCAGGUGCGAAAGCGUGGGGAGCAAACAGGAUUAGAUACCGGGUAGUCCACGCCGUAAACGAUGUCGACUUGUGAGGUUUGUGCCCUUGAGGCGUGGCUUCCGGAGCUAACGCGUUAAGUCGACCGCCCGGGGAGUACGGCCGCAAGGUUAAAAACUCAAAAUGAAUUGACCGGGGCCCGCACAAGCGGUGGAGCAUGUGGUUUAAUUCGAUGCAACGCGAAGAACCUUACACCCGGUCUGAAUACGGAAGUUUUCAGAGAUGAGAAUGUGCCUUCGGGAAACCGUGAGACAGGUGCUGCAUGGCUGUCGUCAGCUCGUGUGUGAAUGUUGCGUUAAGUCCCGCAACGAGCGGCAACCCUUAUCCUUUGUUGCCAGCGGUCCUGGCCGGGAACUCAAAGGAGACUGCCAGUGAUAAACUGGAGUGAAGGUGGGGAUGACGUCAAGUCAUCAUGGCCCCACGACCAGAGCUACACGUGCUACAAGGCGCAUAAAGAGAGAAGCGACCUCGCGAGGCAGCGGACCUCCCAGUAAAGUGCGUCGUAGUCCGGAUUGGAGUCUGCAACUCGACUCCAUGAAGUCGGAAUCGCUAGUAAUCGUGGAUCAAAAUGCCACGAGGUGAAUACGUUCGGGCCUUUACACACCGCCCGUCACACCAUGGGAGUGGGUUGCAAAGAAGUAGGUAGCUUAACCUUCGGGAGGGCGCUUACCACUUUGUGAUUCAUGACUGGGGUGAAGUCGUAACAAGGUAACCGUAGGGGGGAACCUGCGGUUGGGAUCAUCACUCCUACCUUAAAGAAGC
rnacentral:rRNA from 1 species